rnacentral:rRNA from 1 species
AUGAUCCUACGGGACGCAGCAGUAGGGAAUCUUCCACAAUGGACGAAAGUCUGAUGGAGCAACGCCGCGUGAGUGAAGAAGGGUUUCGGCUCGUAAAGCUCUGUUGGUAGUGAAGAAAGAUAGAGGUAGUAACUGGCCUUUAUUUGACGGGAAUUACUUAGAAAGUCACGGCUAACUACGUGCCAGCAGCCGCGGUAAUACGUAGGUGGCAAGCGUUGUCCGGAUUUAUUGGG